rnacentral:rRNA from 1 species
CCUACGGGAGGCAGCAGUAAGGAAUAUUGGGCAAUGGAGGCAACUCUGACCCAGCCAUGCCGCGUGAAGGAUGAAGGCCCUAUGGGUUGUAAACUUCUUUUGUACGGGAAUAAACCUGGUUACGUGUAACCAGUUGAAUGUACCGUAAGAAUAAGCACCGGCUAACUCCGUGCCAGCAGCCGCGGUAAUACGGAGGGUGCAAGCGUUAUCCGGAUUUAUUGGGUUUAAAGGGAGCGUAGGCGGGAUUGUAAGUCAGUGGUGAAAGCCCGUAGCUCAACUACGGAACUGCCAUUGAUACUGCAGACCUAGAGUACACUUGAAGUGGGCGGAAUGUGUCAUGUAGCGGUGAAAUGCUUAGAUAUGACACAGAACACCAAUUGCGAAGGCAGCUCACUAAAUUGUAACUGACGCUGAGGCUCGAUAGCGUGGGGAUCAAACAGGAUUAGAUACCCUGGUAGUCCACGCCGUAAACGAUGAUUACUCGAUGUUGGCGAUACACUGUCNGCGUCUGAGCGAAGACGAGUUAAGUAAGUACCGACCGUACGGGUAAGGUACGGUCGUUCGAGUACGUUAGUUAACGUACGAAGAGUUAGUAGGACGGNGAGAGAGCGACGACGACGACGACGGAGGAGGAGG